AAUAAAUAUUUUGCCAUUUCCAUCAACCUUAUCACGUGAUGUUCUAUAACUGUUGUCUUGUACACUAUCCAUAGUGUAAGUCAGCUGGCUCGAGGAAUUUUCAUAUAGUAUUAUCAUUAAACAACAUACCCUAUGCAACAGUUAUGUUGCUACCCAGACAAAACUAUUUUUAUAUUCUAUGUUAAAUGUAAACGAUCAGUUUUUAUUAUAAAUACAAAACCACCUUUUAAGCGGUAAUACCUAUCACGCAUUAAACAACAUAUAUGAACAACCAUGUGAUUAUAAAGUCUCACGUUGGUUCCUCCGUGCAACUUCAUGCCUGACUUACAUUCAUAUUGUUCUUUCACCACACUUACGCUUCUCCAAAUUUAGAAAGAAGCUGUGUACACAGCGUUCUUGCAAGUUACAAUAACGCGUCCGGUUUGGCGGCAACUUCAAAGAGUGGACAUAUGGUUGCUCCUUCAGGUAGCUAUAAUUACCCUCUCUAUAAUGCAAUAUCGUAUUAUCCAUUUGUAAUGAAUGAUAGUAACACUAAAUCGGAUUGGAUUCAGUUAAAUCUACAUUUCUCAAGGUCUCUAACAUCGAGAUUUGAAAUAUCUUUCAUGUAAAUACCUUCUUUGUCACGUGACUUAUAUAUUCGUGUAUAUUCAGAAUCUUACCUACGCACAAUGUCUUUGCACAAUGGCACAAGCAACGUGGUCUCUUUCUGUAAAACAUAGCACUCUUUAUUUCAGCCACAGCAAAGAUCCCGAACCACGUGCAGUCAGCAGAGUUACAGCGUCUGGUUACCGUCUUGCAGUUACGAUACAGAAUAUGUGCACAUAGCUUUCAAUGACCAGACGAAAAAAAGAAUUCAUUUCAAGUAUGUUGAGAAGAAAACGACCCAUCUCUGAAAAAAUCACCUCACCCAAGAAAAUACGACUCAUUCAUGAGAAUGAAAGUGCAAAGUCUCCCAAGAAAUUGUCUUGUAAUAUAGCAUGUGAAUAAACAAUUUUUUUAAAUAUCUCACGAAAUUAGUUUUAUUUUAUUGCUUGUAAUCAUGUGAACUAAAAAUGUUUGUUUUGAGGAGAAGGUCAUUUGAAGCAACUCCAGGUUAAACUAUCCAAUGAUUGAAUCUUAUUUCUCCUGAAUUAAAAUAAUUCUGCUAAAUAUUACUGCAGAAAAAAAUUCGGCCAGA